UACUCCUACGGGAGGCAGCAGUGGGGAAUAUUGGACAAUGGGCGCAAGCCUGAUCCAGCAAUACCGCGUGUGUGAAGAAGGCCUUCGGGUUGUAAAGCACUUUCAAUUGGGAGGAAAACCUGCCGGUCAAUACCCGGUAGCUUGACAUUACCUUUAGAAGAAGCACCGGCUAACUCCGUGCCAGCAGCCGCGGUAAUACGGAGGGUGCGAGCGUUAAUCGGAAUUACUGGGCGUAAAGCGUGCGUAGGCGGUUCGUUAAGUCAGAUGUGAAAGCCCUGGGCUCAACCUGGGAACUGCAUUUGAAACUGGCGGACUAGAGUUUAGUAGAGGGGAGUGGAAUUUCAGGUGUAGCGGUGAAAUGCGUAGAUAUCUGAAGGAACACCAGUGGCGAAGGCGACUCCCUGGACUAGAACUGACGCUGAGGUACGAAAGCGUGGGUAGCAA
rnacentral:rRNA from 1 species